GUACUCACUUCAGCAGCAUAUAUAACUAAAAUUGAAAUGAUAGAGAGAAGAUAAGCAUGACCCCUGUGUAAGGACGACAUACAAAUUCAUGACUAGUUCCACAUUUUU
ensembl:snRNA U6 U6 spliceosomal RNA